rnacentral:rRNA from 1 species
CUUCCUACGGGGGGCAGCAGUAGGGAAUCUUCCACAAUGGACGAAAGUCUGAUGGAGCAACGCCGCGUGAGUGAAGAAGGGUUUCGGCUCGUAAAGCUCUGUUGGUAGUGAAGAAAGAUAGAGGUAGUAACUGGCCUUUAUUUGACGGUAAUUACUUAGAAAGUCACGGCUAACUACGUGCCAGCAGCCGCGGUAAUACGUAGGUGGCAAGCGUUGUCCGGAUUUACUGGGGGUAAAGGGAGCGUAGACUGCCGUGCCA